ACCAUACCCAUUUUUCUCUCUACUGUCUCUUUCUCUCUCUAGUUCAUCUGAAACCUCCAUAAACAUUCUGAGAAAGCUUGGAGAUCAAAAAUUUCAUGCGUAAUCAUGGAUAUUAGAGAAGAAAUUGCUGAUGCUACCGUAGGUUCUGGAAAUCAUCGUAAAAAAAUAAGGGGAACAAGAAUUACAUCAUCAAUGCCGGAAUUAAGAAACAACAACAACAAGAGUUUAGCAUCUGAGCUAACUAGCCUGAUUUUCUAGUUGAUUCAAAAAAUAAAAACCCUAACUAUUUUUUUUUUUUUGAAUCUUUCAGAAUGAGAAAAGCUAGUUCAGAGCAGGAUAUUGAAAGCAAAGAUUCAGAUGAUGAAGAUGUUCCAAUUGCCAUCAAAUUGGCUAGAAAAAAAAGACAAACGCGAAAUCCUACUCUUAUAAUAGACCCAACACUUUUAAAUGAUAUCAAAAGAUCAGCCAAGUUGAUCAAUUGAGGAAGUUACGGGUCGUAUAUUGUGCACAACUGAUGCUUUUUGAGGGAGCCAAGUACCACCAAAUGAACAAAAUGGCAGCAAAAAGAAGACAAAGAGAAAGUGAUUAACUUCUAAAUGUUCAAAUGCAAAACAAUAUGUGUCUUUAUGUAAUAUACAAUAUGAUAUUUCUUCAAAAGAGUAUUUCAAAUUAUAUUGAAUGAUGAAUGUAUAUAAACAUAUGUU